AAAAAAUAUACAGAACAUUGCGGGAAUAUCCUGGGAAUAUACAUGGGUGAACAUGUAUAUGAAAUGUCCUAACAUGAAUGUUCGUGGAAUACACAUGAAUGUAUAUUCAUCAAAGUUCAUAAAAGGUAUAUCCUAGGUAUGGACAUAUAUGUAGAAAUUGUGUAUAUGUGCAGACGAAAAUGCCAGGUAUGUACAUAUUGUGUAUAUGUGCAGGGGAAUAUACCUAGUAUGUUAUACUGAAACUUAUGAAAUACUGAAAAUAUGCUGUUAAUUAAACCAGACUAACAAAAUUUGUCGGAAAUAAAUUUUGCGUGCCCGCAGCAGAAAAGUAAGGGCACGUACAAGUGAAUUAUUUUUUUACUUCUAACUUCAGAAAGUCACCAUUAUUUAAUGCUUUUCUUUAUUGAGAAUUCACAUUUCUCUGUCUAUGUCAAUACUAAUGAUAGAAAAAUACUUAGGUCAAUAAUGAAAAAUGUUGUAGAUUUUCAUUAUGUUAAUUUUUCCGAUCUCUGAGUUUAACUACUUCGGUACAGAAGCCUAUUAAAUACCUCGCUGGCUAUAUAUUUAUGUAUACUCGGUAUAUUACAGCUUACUUCUUGCCUUAGAUACAUAAAAUACUAUUUUAUUUAUGUUUAGACUUAAAUUCAAAAAUAGUACGUACUCUCAAAUUAUUUGCAUUGUUUCUUCUUAUCCUAGUUAUUUAUUUGGAAAAAAAUUGUGGUUCUCAAAAGAACCGAUUUGUGUUUGAUUAAGUAUGUUCCUACUUUAAGAUAGGAAAAAACAUACUCUUUUGUUAUGCUCGGCGUUUUUGCAGUUUUGGGUUUAGGUGCUUUUGGUGUUUUUCGUUGAGCCUGGUUUAUUUGAUUGCAUUGAAGACGCUAGGGAUCACGUGAGAAAACCACACACGAAAAAUGUUCGCAUAAGAUAUGGCAAAAAUGUAAAGGUGAUGUCGCUGUUCUGAACUUGAAGACGCUAGAAAUCACGUGAGACAACCACACACGAAAAAUGUUCGCAUAAGACACAAGUAAGGUUGUCUGAACCUAAUUACUCUUCUAUUAAUGUAAAACUAUUAUCUGUAUUUGUUAAUUUUUACCAGUUUGAUUUUGAUUGAUUUCUAUUUAGCUAUAAGCAUGUUUUCUUGGAUCGGAAGGAAAGCAACAAAAGUAAAAUGAAAGUAAUGUAUCAAUGCAAAUUGCUCUACCUAACUGUAUUUCUACACAAUAGAAUAGUCUAUCAAUGUAAAACUAGUAACUGUAUUUUGUUGUUGUGACCAUUAUUAAAAUUUGUAAUUGCU